GAGUGGGGAUGACGUCAAUCAUCAUGCCCCUUAUGACCUGGGCUACACACGUGCUACAAUGGCUGGUACAACGAGUCGCAAGUCGGUGACGGCAAGCUAAUCUCUUAAAGCCAGUCUCAGUUCGGAUUGUAGGCUGCAACUCGCCUACAUGAAGUCGGAAUCGCUAGUAAUCGCGGAUCAGCACGCCGCGGUGAAUACGUUCCCGGGCCUUGUACACACCGCCCGUCACACCACGAGAGUUUGUAACACCCGAAGUCGGUGAGGUAACCUUUUAGGAGCCACCCCCCAAAGGGGGAAUAAAUGAUU
rnacentral:rRNA from 1 species